AUGACGGCGCCGCCGAUGUGGUUGCCGUUUGGCGGGGCGGAGCGGCGGGAGACCGCGGCGGCGGAGCUGGAGCCACACGCGCGACAACUCCCUGAUCGCCGCUGGCCAACUUGCGCAGUCGCGAACAAGGAGAGCUACGCCUUCACCUGCGCCUUGCGAGGACGAUGCGUUGGCGAUGCCGUCGUGCAUGACGACGCCAAUAGCACGAGGCGGAUGACGGUCAACCUGAUGGCGCCGUCGUUCUUGGCGAGGCGGCAUGCGAACACCACCGACUCCCGGUCGUCGGGGCCACCGAGGAAGAUAGCGGCGAUCUGGGUCCCUACCUUCUGGUCACCUUGGUUCCUCGCCGCCGUCGUCUCUUCGCUUGUUGAUAUCUUGGUUGGCAGCUGGAAGCUGGCGCCGCCCCUCCAGAACGGGCGGUCGGUGAAGAUGCCGACGGUGCACAGGGCAAGCUCGAGCACCUUGCGGUUGAGCUCGCGGCAAUGGUGCUCGCGGGCACCCCGUCGAACCCGGCGUGCUCCGGUAAGUUGUCGACGGAGGAGAUGGCGACGAGCAGCAGCACCAGCCAUCGGCUUUGUUGCCGGCGACAACCUCACCGUCCCGCUCCGUUUCGCCCUCCCCCCUCGCUGCCGCAGGUCGCAGUCGUAGUGGUGGUGGC
rnacentral:lncRNA from 1 species